AAAAAUUCAUCAGUGCUUGAGAAAGUGGUUGUUGGAGUUUGAUAGGUGAAGAUACUCCCAAAGCAUUUACACGGCACUUGUACAGAGCACAGACGUUGUUGUUGUAAAUGUUUUUCGAGUAUCUUCUCCUAUAAACUUCAAAAUCUGGAUCCCACAAGACACGGUAUUUGACAAAUCUGAAGACGCUUGAUCUCAGCUUCUCCAAAAUAUUGAUACAAACACCAAAUUUCAAAGGAAUGCCAAAUUUGGAGACUUUGCAUCUGAAGGGAUGUAUAAAUCUUGAAGAGAACACUAUCCUUGGGAUAUUGCAAAAAGCUCAUUUUCUUAAAUUUGAAGGAAUGUUAGAGCCUUAAGAGGCUUCCAAGUAGUUUUCACGCGGCUUGCAAUUUGAAGUUCUGGAAACUAGUCCAAGUUGAUUGAAAAUUGUUUGAGCUGACUAACAGGUAAGUUAGCUCAAAAAUCCUGAAACACCUAUUCACCCUCCUCUGGUAUUUUUAUUAAUUGAUUGUUAUGGAUAUAUGUUUGAAAGUCUCUGAAUUCCGAACAGAGCUGAUAACUCUGUUA